rnacentral:rRNA from 1 species
AUGUGCGGGAAUCCAUCCGAUUUUGGAGGCUCCCCUUUCCGUUGGCGGAAGGCUUCCAUUUCCCGCUUCCACUCCCCGCCGCCACCGCGGCACAUCCACGCCCCUUGCUACUGCUUCCAGCUGCCCCGCGCCGCCCGAAAGCUCUGGCACCCCGCGCUGCAUCCACUCCAGCAACUUUCGUCUACGGGGGUGACCAUUUGCGUCCGCGGUUCGCGUCCACCACCGGCGCCAUGGAUCCACCUAGGAGCUUGGCGCACGGGCUCAUUCCUUGCAGAUCCGGUUGGUUCCGGCGACUAUGGAUUGGAGUUUGUCUCAUUGUCUUCGUCUGACGAUUCAGACAAAGAAGAGUUGAUCCUCGACAAUGAUGAUGACAACCUAGUGUUGUUGCAUCUAGUUGAGGAAUUUGAGGCGGGGCUGAAGAAAAAGUGGCGUGGAUCCAUGGGCGGUCGGCUAUGCACUCCCCGCAACCGAGCUCUCGGUGACAAAAUGCUCAUGAAGGACUACUUCUCUGAGGUACCGACGUAUCCGGCUCACCUCUUCCGUAGGCGAUAUCGAACAUAUAGCCGUGUGAAGCCUGCCAGGGACGCAAAUGAGACCAAUGCAUUUCUUGAUACCUACGAGAAGAUCGAGAACCAUGAUUUGCACAACCAACUCCAACAUGUUCUUAUUGAGCAUCUGUGGCAGCUCUAUGGGGGGAGAUAG